GGGGAAGCCGAGCCGCCGAGCCCGAGCCCGGCGCCCUGUGUUGUGCUCCGCUCUCCGGGAAAUGCCAUCACUAAUUUAUGCACUAAAAGGAGCCGGAGGAGCUGGAGAGACGCGGGGCCGAGCCGGGGAGGCCGGCGGAGGGAGGGAGGGCGCAGGCACUGACUGAUGUGCAGCAGAAAAUGGCUCCUUUCCCCUUUCCCUCCACCGAACGGCUCCAUAUUGCAAAACCAAAAAAAAAAAAUUAAAAAGCGACGAAAAUGCAAUUGUGUGCCUUCUCCCUCCUAGUGGUGCAGGGAGGGGAAGAAGAAAGGCAGAAAAUGUUGGGAACUGUCACUGCGGCGCUUUUGGUGGAGAAUUUUUUUUCUUUAAUUUGAAAUGCGAAGGCACCGGAUGGAGAUAGACGCGCAGGCACACGCACACUCACACACACACACGGAGGCAUAUUUUUGUGUUGCUGAGUAUUUGGGGUUUGCUCGCCCGUGACAGCGGGCUCCUGGGCCACGAGGGGGUGUGGGGGGGACGCUUGGCUGUUGGCUAUCGGAUUAGGGGUCAAAUGGAGAACGGCUGAAGCCCUCGCGGGGACUCGGGGCUGGGGAGAGGAGGGGGACUGCGACUUUGCAUUUCGGCUGCUUUGCACGCAGGGUUCCUGGUGAGCAAAGUGGCUUUGGAACAUGUCGCAGUAACAUGCUUAAAAUUCUUGACAACUGCAAAAUAAACUGCUAGUUUCAUUUUCCUUACCCCUCCCCUUUCUUCCUGCCCUUGCGUGUUUAUUUGAGGGGGGGGCUGUGUAUCAGGGACUACGUCAGGCCUGCGGAAAUCUACCUUCCACAUCCACGGCUAAAUGUUCAUAAAGACAGAGUAGGGCCUUAUGUCACUCCCCACCUGGAGGCCGCGGCAAAGGUGGCUUUUUUUUUUUUUUUU
rnacentral:lncRNA from 10 species